rnacentral:rRNA from 1 species
GAUGAACGCUGGCGGCGUGCCUAAUACAUGCAAGUCGAGCGAACAGACGCUGAGCUUGCUCCUCUGACGUUAGCGGCGGACGGGUGAGUAACGCGUGUAUAACCUACUUAUCAGACUGGGAUAACUUCGGGAAACCGGAGCUAAUACCGGAGAAUAUAUUGAACCGCAGGGUGCAAUAGUGAGAGACGGUUGUGGUGGCACUUAUAGAUGGUUCCGCGCCGCAUGAGCUAGUUGGUAAGGUAACGGCUUUCCAAGGCAACGAUGCGUAGCCGACCUGAGGGGGUGAUCGGCCACACUGGAGCUGAGACACGGUCCAGACUCCUACGGGAGGCAGCAGUAGGGAAUCUUCCGCAAUGGGCGAAAGCCUGACGGAGCAACGCCGCGUGAGUGAUGAAGGUCUCCGGAUCGUAAAAAUCUGUUAUUAGGGAAGAACAAAUGUGUCAGUAACUAUGCACGUCUUGACGGUACCUAAUCAGAAAGCCCCGGCUAACUACGUG